rnacentral:rRNA from 1 species
GACGGCUCAGUAACACGUGGCUAACCUACCCUCGGGUGGGGGAUAACCUCGGGAAACUGAGGAUAAUACCCCAUAGGAGAAGAGGUCUGGAAUGAUCCUUCUCUGAAAACAUAUGUGCCCGAGGAUGGGGCUGCGUCUGAUUAGGUAGUUGGUGGGGUAACGGCCCACCAAGCCUACGAUCAGUACGGGCCUUGAGAGAGGCAGCCCGGAGAUGGGGACUGAGACACGGCCCCAGGCCCUACGGGGCGCAGCAGGCGCGAAACCUCCGCAAUGCACGAAAGUGCGACGGGGGGACCCCAAGUGCUUACGCACUGCGUAGGCUUUUCUAAAGUGUAAAAAGCUUUAGGAAUAAGGGCUGGGCAAGUCCGGUGCCAGCAGCCGCGGUAACACCGGCGGCCCGAGUGGUGACCACUUUUAUUAGGCCUAAAGCGUCCGUAGCCGGUCCAGUAAGUCCCUGUUUAAAUCCUACGGCUUAACCGUAGGGCUGGCAGGGAUACUGCUGGACUUGGGACCGGGAGAGGGCGAGGGUACUUCAGGGGUAGCGGUGAAAUGUGUUGAUCCCUGGAGGACCACCUAUGGCGAAGGCACUCGCCUGGAACG